rnacentral:lncRNA from 1 species
GCGAGCAUUAGAACACAAGAUAAAGUGAUAGAAAACGAAGGGAAGGGUUCGGUGGCUUCGUAGACCUUGAACGAAGUUUGGCAAGAACUUGAUUUCGAUGGAAUGGCCACGUAUUGCAAGAAGCUACGACGGCGGCGCUCUCGGUUUCUCGGCGAGAUCAGAAAGCAAAGUUGAGCAGCGGAUAAGGCCUCACGGCUUCAAUAUAAGGGAAAGAGGGGAGCACGGGGAAAGGCUUGGGAGUUUUGUAGAGGCUCGGUUCGCUCUUGGCAAGGAAAUCCCGUGCAAAUCGGGAUUUUUGGCUCUCGGUCGGUGUCCUGCUCGAGAACGACUGAAGGUAGGAGAAGCCGGCUGACCGGUGGGGUCGCUCUUGUCAGUGGGCGCGGGGUGGGACCAGUUGGCAGAGAGGAGGAGAAAGGGGAUGGCGCGGGGCGCUGCUGCUGCCCUGCUGGGCUGGCUAACGGGCCGAGAGAGGAUGGGCCGCGGGGGAAAGAAGGGGGAGCCGGUUGGGCCAGAAUUAGAGAGAGGGAGAGGUAGAUUUUGUUUUUUUGUUUUCUUUUUCUUUAUUUUAUUCCAAAGCUAUUUUCAAAUUUGUUUUAAAAUCACUUUGAAUUAUUUUUGAACUUUAAUAAAACCACUCAGCACAAUAAAUAAAAUGCAUAAGCAUGCGUGCACAAGAAUGUUGCUACACCCUAUGAUUGAUUUUAAUUGACUAAAAAUAUUAUUUUUCCUAUAUUUUCAUGAGCACAAAAUACAAAAUUAAAUCAUUUUUCUCCUAUUUCAAAAGUUGUAAAUUUUUGGGUGUUACAGUGGGUGAGCCCAGUUCAAGUUGUGCCUAAAAAGGGAGGCAUGACUAUCGUUAUGAAUGAAAAGAACGAGCUAAUUCCGCA